rnacentral:RNase_P_RNA from 1 species
ACGAUGAACCAGACCGCCGCCGCGUGGUCGUCCCCAGUGACAGACGCGCGGAGGAAAGUCCGGGCUCCGCAGGACAUGAUGCCGGGUAAUUCCCGGGAGAAAAACAUGGAACCUUUGGUUCCAUGUUUUCGACAGACAGCGCAACAGAAAGCAAACCGCCAGGCGGUUUCCGGCAUGCCGGGAAUCGCAGGGUAAGGGUGAAACGGCGGGGUAAGAGCCCCCCUCGGCGGCGGCAACGCCGUUGGAACGGCAAGCCUCAUCAGGAGCAAAGUCAAGCAAGCGUGGUGAUUGACUACGUCAAUCACGCCGGUGGUCCGCCGGUUAAACGCGGGUAGACUGCAAUGGAAAGAUCCGGUAACGGAUCUUCAAGACAGAUGGCGGUUGGGCCUUCGAAGAAGGCCUUGCCAAAAACCUGCGGUUUUUGGCGUGACAGAACCCGGCUUACGGUUCAUCGUUUUU